UUAUCAUUUAGAGGAAGGAAAAGUUGUAAUAAGGUUUCCGUAGGUGAACCUGCAGAAGGAUCAUUGUCGAAACCUGCCCAGUAGAAAGACCCAAGAACAAGUUAAACAUUCACCCGAGGGGGCCAGGGGCAUCGACGCGUCCCGGAUCCCCCCACGCCGGGAGCAUGCUUCUUCGGCCUGCGCCCUCGGCUUCCAAAUAACCCCCGGCACGAAAUGCGUCAAGGAAAAACAACAAAAAGAGCCAUGUCRUCGGGGCCCCUGAAAUGCCCUGGCAGCUCAUUCGUGAUUGGUUAAAGUCAAAAYGACUCUCGGCUCUCGCAUUGAUGAAGAACGUAGCGAAAUGCGAUACUUGGUGUGAAUUAUAGAAUCCCGUGAACCAUCGAGUCUUUGAAUGCAAGUUGCACCCAAAGUUGGGCGUCACACAAAGUUGCCCCCCCAAAACCCAUGCCGCUCCUCGUGGGCGCACGUGGAACCAGCGGGGGGCAGACGAUGACCUCUCAUGAGCGCCUAGCCUCAUGGUUGGCCCAAAUUCGAGUCCUUGAUCACGUCAUCAUGGCGACUGGUAGUUGUCGAUCAUUUGGUGCCCUCGGUGCCCCGUUACUUGCAUUGUCCGCCUAUCGAGACUCCGACAAACCCCAAUGCGCCCGUCACGGGCGCUUCCAACGCGACCCCAGGUCAGGCGGGGCUACACAAUGAGUUUAAGCAUAUCAAUA
rnacentral:misc_RNA from 1 species